UGGGGAAUAUUGCACAAUGGGCGCAAGCCUGAUGCAGCCAUGCCGCGUGUAUGAAGAAGGCCUUCGGGUUGUAAAGUACUUUCAGCGGGGAGGAAGGGAGUAAAGUUAAUACCUUUGCUCAUUGACGUUACCCGCAGAAGAAGCACCGGCUAACUCCGUGCCAGCAGCCGCGGUAAUACGGAGGGUGCAAGCGUUAAUCGGAGUUACUGGGCGUAAAGCGCACGCAGGCGGUUUGUUAAGUCAGAUGUGAAAUCCCCGGGCUCAACCUGGGAACUGCAUCUGAUACUGGCAAGCUUGAGUCUCGUAGAGGGGGGUAGAAUUCCAGGUGUAGCGGUGAAAUGCGUAGAGGUCUGGAGGAAUACCGGUGGCGAAGGCGGCCCCCUGGACGAAGACUGACGCUCAGGUGCGAAAGCGUGGGGAGCAAACAGG
rnacentral:rRNA from 1 species